UACGUAGGUGGCAAGCGUUGUCCGGAAUUACUGGGUGUAAAGCGUGCGCAGGCGGUUCGCAAAGACAGGUGUGAAAUCCCCGGGCUUAACCUGGGAACUGCGCUUGUAACUAGCGGGCUAGAGUGCGGCAGAGGGGGGUGGAAUUCCACGUGUAGCAGUGAAAUGCGUAGAGAUGUGGAGGAACACCGAUGGCGAAGGCACCCCCCUGGGCUAGCACUGACGCUCAUGCACAAAAGCGUGGGGAGCAAACAGG
rnacentral:rRNA from 1 species